rnacentral:rRNA from 1 species
GUGGGGAAUCUUCCGCAAUGGACGAAAGUCUGACGGAGCGACGCCGCGUGAGUGAUGAAGGCCUUCGGGUCGUAAAGCUCUGUCAUCGGGGACGAACGGCCUCAGCAGGUAAUGGCUGGGGAUUGACGGUACCCGAGAAGGAAGCCACGGCUAACUACGUGCCAGCAGCCGCGGUAAUACGUAGGUGGCAAGCGUUGUCCGGAAUUAUUGGGCGUAAAGCGCGCGCAGGUGGGAUCUUAAGUCUAUUUUGAAAGUUCGGAGCUUAACUCCGUGAUGGGAUAGAAACUGGGAUUCUUGAGUACCGGAGAGGAAAGCGGAAUUCCCCGUGUAGCGGUGAAAUGCGUAGAUAUGGGGAGGAACACCAGUGGCGAAGGCGGCUUUCUGGACGGUGUCUGACGCUGAGGCGCGAAAGCCAGGGGAGCGAACGGGAUUAGAAACCCUAGUAGUCC